UAAUACGGAGGAUCCAAGCGUUAUCCGGAUUUAUUGGGUUUAAAGGGUUCGUAGGCGGAAAAUUAAGUCAGUGGUGAAAUCCUACAGCUUAACUGUAGAACUGCCAUUGAUACUGGUUUUCUUGAGUACAAAUGAGGUGGGCGGAAUGUGGCAUGUAGCGAUGAAAUGUAUAGAUAUGCCACAGAACACCAAUUGCGAAGGCAGCUCACUAAAAUGUAACUGACGCUGAGGAACGAAAGCGUGGGGAGCGAACGGGAUUAGAUACCCCGGUAGUCCACGCCGUAAACGAUGAUCACUCGAUGUUGGCGAUAUACUGUCAGCGUCCAAGCGAAAGCGUUAAGUGAUCCACCUGGGGGGUACGGUCGCAAGAUUG
rnacentral:rRNA from 1 species